CGGGACGUGGCGCAGUUUGGUAGCGCGCAGCGUUCGGGACGCUGAGGUCGCGGGUUCAAGUCCCGCCGUCCCGA
rnacentral:tRNA from 2 species